GAUAUGCAGUCACACCCAUUAGGCCCGCUCCCAAAAAAAAGAAAAGAAAAGAGUUACUGUAGUGACCAGACAAGUGACAGGCGACGCCGUUUUGUGAAUGUUGAUAGUUAAGGGUACCAAAUCCAAUCUGAAGGAAACCAAUAGCACUAGUGAUAACCAAAAUUAGGGUGAGGAUGCAGACUGAAGCCCGCGUAGGAGUGGUUGUGGAUGGAAAAGGAAGUGGUCGGAAAUUGCAGCGUCAGCAUUCUCAGAUUGGAUCUGUUCCUCAGCUUGUUGCCGGUGGUCUUGCCGGUGCUGUCAGCAAGACAUGCACUGCCCCUCUUGCUCGCCUUACUAUUCUCUUUCAGCUGCAAGGAAUGCACACCGAUGCUGCUACCUUCAAAAAGUCUAGUAUAUGCCAAGAGGCUUCACGUAUUGUACGCGAAGAAGGAUUUCGCGCAUUUUGGAAGGGCAAUUUGGUCACUAUUGCUCAUCGCCUCCCAUAUUCCUCUAUCAGCUUUUAUGCUUUUGAACGCUACAAGAAUGUGUUGCAAUUGAUUUUGGGAGUUGAAAGCCAAGGAGAGAAUAUAAGUGCAGACCUUUGCAUAAGACUUGUAGGUGGUGGUUUCGCUGGAAUAACUGCUGCUUCUCUUACAUACCCCUUGGAUCUUGUUAGGACACGUCUUGCAGCUCAGACAAAUGUAAUAUAUUACAGAGGCAUAUGGCAUGCAUUACAAACCAUCAGUAGGGAAGAAGGGAUAGCCGGCCUUUAUAAAGGAAUGGGUGCUACUUUAUUGGGGGUUGGCCCGAACCUGGCAAUCAGCUUUUCUGUUUAUGACACUGUGAGAUCGUACUGGCAGUCUCAUAGGCCAGAUGAUUCAACUGUCUUGGUCAGCCUUGCUUGUGGAAGUCUUUCAGGUGUUGCAUCAUCAACAGAGAAGCAGGUUGAGGUGCUGGCUUCUCACUAAGUUUCUAACUGGACUGACUCUUAGAGCCCGAGACCGAGCACUUUUAUCUGGCAUUUGAUUUUAUUGGCUCCACCAUGGUGGAUAUUUGCAUGGGAGCCAUAUGUAUUUGCAGUUAUCAAAAUGUGAGAGGCUUCCUCGUUGAGGGUACAGAAGUAGUUGGAGCAUCCCAGUCGGCUUUACGUUAUUCCAUUGAACAGGCAUCAGUGAUUUAAAAGCAAAAAGUGCUAAAAAGCCAUCCUGAGGUGGUUGGUAAAAAACGAGGAACACAAGCACAUACUGUAGCUGUAGAAGAGCUAGCAGAAUAGAAGAAAGGAAUAGGAGAAAGAUCAAAGUGGGGAGGAUGAUGAAGGACAAGAAGAAAAGAAAUCAGGAAGAGAGAAGUGGAACAAUUACAGGACAAGGGAAAAAGAGAAGAAAAAAGCUAAAUAGUGAUGGGAUUUGAAUCGUCAAUAAAGAAGACGAGGAACCUUCCUGGAGCAAAGUGAAAGGCCGUUUAAGACCUAUUUUCUCUCCACCCUUUCUUGUAUUGGAGCUGCAUAGCCCUACUGGGAAGGAAUGUAAAUGUAGUAAUCGCAGAAUUUUAUUCAACACAAGGCUGGAAUCUCUCUCUUAGAAGGAAUGUAAAUGAUUGGGAAGUAGAACGAGUAUGUCUUUUGCUUCAGCUGCUAAGCAACAUAGCUUUGGACUACAAAAAAGUAGAUUCUAUUACAUGGGAGGGGCAUCCCAAAUGUCUCUUUACGGUCAGAAGCUGCAAUCAAGUAACAACAGGGUCUUUGCCUUGGGAAAAAAAAUUGGCUUUGGAAGGCACCUUUGAAGGUCAUUUGCUUCUCUUGGAUUGUGGCUAGAGAGACUUGUCUCACUCGUUCCAACGUUCAAAAGAGGAAAAUUCAGCUUUGUAGUAGGUGCCCCAUGUGUGAAGAGCGCUCUGAAGAUGUUGGCCACCUCCUUUUGUAUUGUAUAGUUACUACUCGCUGUGCAGCAUGUUCUUGUCGAUCUUAUGAAUGUCCUGGUCCAUGCCAAAAUCCACUAGGGAGCUAUUGCAAUGUUGGAAGAAAGAAGGGUUGUGCAAGAAAUCACAAGAGACUUGGACUACCAUCCCUCAAGCCAUUUAGUGGACUGUUUGGCUUGAAAGAAAUGAUAUAAAUUUUGAAGGCCGUAGGAGAAAUUGCAUGGCCUUA